CCAGGCGCCGCACCUUCCAAUCUGCCACCUCGUCCACCACGGGUAUCCCCCUCCCCGCCGCCGCGUCCGCCACCAGCACCCCGAUGCCCCACAGGCUGCCAGACGGGGUUCCGGCCGCCAGCCCGGCCAUACCGACCGGCUCCGACCCCAUCGCGCCUUCCGCCACCACGAUCCGGUGCACCAGGGACCAUCCGCAAUGGUGCUGGAACGAACUGAACCGCUUGGGAGUAGGACUUCUUCAGGGAAUCUCCUCUUCUCUCUCUCGCUUUUUGUAAGAUGUCCGCUUGUUUUUAUAAAGUUCCGCUUCUCUUUCCUUUUGAUAAACCCUGCUUCUCCCUCGAUUCAAGAGGCGAGUCCGCGAGUCAGCUGCAGAGCGGUUUUACUCCGGGCGACCGGGCGGGCGGGGUGAGCGGUUGAACGCCAGCCGUCAAUCUAGGUCUGAUGACGAAGAUCCUUCCGACUUCCGAGCCUCGCAGCAGGCCUGUCACCUGUGAUAAUGGGGAGUAGUGCCAAUUACCGCUGCUGAAUUCCUGAUUCAAGCAUGCACAAUAAACCAAGAACGGAGGACCUCCGACCAUGAAGUUAUUGAUGUUGCUCUCAAGAUCUAAAAAUCUUAACCACUGAGAGUUCAUAGAUCUUCUCCAACAGCUGUCGGUUUCAACUGCUAACAUCGGAUUAUUGCAGAUGUGGAGGUGAGAAGAAACUAUUUCGACGCUAGCGUAUCAAGCUUCCAGUGGUUUGGGCCAAAACCGGUUUUUGUAGUUCGGUUUUUCCGUUUGGGGCGACUUGGUUUGGUGGUAAUCGGGCUGAGAUGGCUAGUGGGCUGGUUCAGUUGAGAUUCACGAUUAGAGUGGGUCGAUCUGGUCGGGCCUGGUUUGCUCGUGGAUCCUAUCAUCUCAUCCUAUUCUCCCUCAUCGGCUCGUCAACAGCGGCAGCGGCGGCUGCCGUUCGCUCGUGGCGCGGCCGCGCGAGCUCGGCGCGGCAUUCAAGUACCCCCGUCCGGCUGUCCGUGGAUCCACUAGGUACUCCUCCUCCCCUUCUCCCAUGGAUCGAUCCUCCUCCCCCUCCCCAUCUAGAUCGAUCAGUUGGCAUGGGACAGAGAUUCUUGCAGAGUUCGGAUGGAGAGUGUUGGCCUGUUCGGAGGGAGAUACUGGUUGGACGGUGAAUGAAUACAUGCUCUUGUUUCUCGUUGAUGCUUUACCUAAGAAACAUGCAUACUUCUGCUACUUCGUGCUUAGAUAGAUACUCCUGUUUUUCAGUUGUCCUGCAUAUUACUAUGUUGGUCAUGGUCUAAUUUUCAACUUUGUUUCACUUAUAUGUGGAAGUAAUAAGUAGAUAAACAUGUCAUCGAACGCUUCUGGUAGUUCAACAGUCAUGAUUCCAUGGAAUUAUUCUCAUCACAAACACCACGUCGUACAAGGUCUAAUGUUUGGGAACACUAUGAGCAAAACGUAGUCAAUGUGGAUGGUGAUCUAAAGCAUUGGAAUACAAGGCUGUUCUGAACACCUAUGCUGCUAAGUUUUGGAAGUUGAUCCUAGUGAAGAAGAAUGGAUAAAAGCAGAAGCAAUUUGCGAGUUUCUCAAAGCCUUUGAAGAACUUACCCUUGCUGUUUCAGCCCACAGGAAACCAACAGCACAUAAGUUUUUGCCCUUAGUUCUUUGCAUCCUACAUGCACUGAAGGAGGACCCAGCCUUGCAAACAACUAACUUGCUUCAAGAGUUGGCAGCAUCUAUGUGUUCUAAGUUUGAGAAGUAUUGGGAUCUAGAUGAAGGUAACCCUCGAAGUGAAGAUAUCCUCCGUAGAAAGAACAAAGAGAUUGCAUUUAACCUUGCACUAGUCAUUGCCAUCAUAUUAGAUCCAAGAAGGAAAGCACUUUAUUUGGAUUCUUUUUUCCGAAGGUGUGCAAAAACGCAGAUCAGAUUGGUAUGCAUGUGAACUCUGCCAUAGUGUGGAUGAGAAGGUACUUCACACUAUAUGAGCAACAAUAUUCAAGGACAAGUAGCACAGACAUGGGGACACAUGUUAGUGAAGUCUCCAUUGUGGGCUCACCGGCUCUCGGGAAAAAGGAAGAUUGAAGCUGAGUUUGCUCAUAUAGUGAGGGUUGCACGGUCACCAAAAUCCGAUUUGGAUAUCUACUUAGAAGAAAAGAUUGAGAAUGGCACAGAAGGUUUUGAUGUCCUAGCGUGGUGGAAAAGCAAAUCAGAAAUUUUCUUGUACUACCAGCUAUGGCGAUUCCCCUUAGUACUGUAUCAUCCGAAUUGCUUUCAGUUGUGGGGGAAGAAUUCUUGGAGACCAUAGAAGCUCACUAACUCCAAAAAUGCUUGAGGCUCUUGUCUGCGCAAAAGAUUGACUAUUUAAGGCUAAAGUUCCAGAAUUAUGUUCUGAUAGUGAAGAGGUUUUAGUGGAAGGGUGACUGGCAGCUGAGUGCAUUAGGAACUUCUGUACCAAAUGAUCUGUUUUGGAGCAAGCCAAGGCUGCUGCUCAGGUAGCUUUAAGAAAAUGGAUGCUGACUAAGGGCCUGUUUGGAACCACUAAGGAUAACAGUUAUCCAGCUAAAAUUAUCCCUUAGGUUCCAAACAGCCCAGCUAAAAGCCCAGCUAACUCUUAGCUAAACCCCUGGAUAACAAUAAUCCUGUUAGCCAGCUCCACCCAGCUAAAAGCAGCUAAAACUUGGUAAAAGACGCUCCUACCCCUUAUCCUUUACACGCGCACCUGCCUCCACUCCUCUCUCUCUCGUCGCAGAUCGACUCCUCCUGCCAGCGGCGCGGCGCGGCGACCCCGGCCUCCCAGCUCCUCCCGCCGGCGGCGCGACCUCUCCUCCGCCGUGCAGAGGUCGCGGGCCGCCGCCGCCGUGCUCUCCUCCGCCGCCGCCGCACUCUCCUCCGCCGCAGUCUAUUAGACAAGCUGCCAAUAGCUUUGAGAGGUCCAAAGAAACUAUCAGUCGGAAAUUUGAAGAAGUGCUGCAUUGUGUAAAUAAGAUGUCAGCUGAUUACAUUAAACCACGAGAUCCAGGAUUUACAACGGUUCAUCCUAGAGUUCAAGCUCCUCAGUUUUCACCUCAUUUUGAUAACUGCAUUGGAGCCAUACAUGGAACACAUAUACGUGUUGUUGUGCCGGCGUCAAAGGUGCUCCAACAUACAGGCCGUCACGGGUACUCAAGUCAAAAUGUGCUAGCUAUUUGCGACUUUGAUAUGCGGUUCACCUUUGUAGUUGCCGGUUGGCCAGGGUCUGUUCAUGAUAUGAGAGUCUUCAAUGAUGCCAUCCAAAAAUAUGGUGACAAGUUCCCGCAUCCUCCUCAAGGAAAAUUUUAUCUUGUUGCCUCCGGAUAUCCUAAUCGUGAAGGAUAUCUUGCACCAUACAAAGGAACAAAAUAUCACCUACCGGAGUUUCGUCAAGGCCCAAGACCAAGAGGGAAAAAGGAGUUGUUUAACUUUUGUCAUUCAUCCUUGCGUAACGUCAUCGAGCGCUCAUUUGGUGUGUUGAAGAUGAAAUGGAGGAUAUUGUUGCACCUACCGUCGUUUCCAAUGGUAAAGCAAACUAAAAUAAUAAUUGCUUGCAUGGCGCUACAUAACUUCAUAAGAGAAAGUGCCAUAGCGGAUGCGGACUUUGAAAGAUGUGACAAUGACGAGGAUUAUAUGCCCAUGGCGUCGGUUUCAUUGUCUCAACAAAAUGGUGACGAAGAACAAGACAUGAAUGAUUUUCGUGAUAGCAUUGCUAAUGCAUUGUUUAACAUGCGAGGAUGAGCAUUGUAAACCUAUUUAUUUUUAUUAUUUGAAAUAAUUUUUGUACCAUACUUUGAGACAUUUGUGUGUUGCUAUUUUUUUAUAAUUUAUUUUAA